GGAUUAGUUAUUGUUGAUUGAGAGAGAAAGACUUCUUUAAAAAAGCGUUUUUGUUAAGGAGUCUGGGAAUCAUGGAAUCAUAGUGACCAGUAACUGUUAUGGACUGGAUUGUAUCCCCCUCCAAUUCAGUUAUGGUGCUGCUUCAGAAAGAAAAGAGAUAGUUUCCCUUGCAAAGUUAUCAAAGUGCUCCCCAGAAGACAUUAGGUAUUUGCUUUCUAGUCUACAUACAAUGAAAAGGAAAAAACGUCAGUUCCUGAAGCUCUCUCAAAACAUCAACAGAUGGAAAGACGUGCCCAUGUCCUCCCCUCCCUCCACUCUGGGGGCUUGGAAAUGCUGCAGCAGGGAGCAGGCCCCAGGCUGGACCUGCCCUGUCCUCACGACGAGUGUGUGCAAAAGUGAACAAUAAAUCAUUUCAAAGAUGCAAGGAAGAAAAACCAAAACAUCAACAGAAUCUUCUUUCCCAUAAUCUUCAUGCACCUCCUGGUCCGGAUGAGUUUAUGUUCCCAUCUCCGAGCACAGGGAUUGAUUGUGAUGGCAUUUAUAGGACUGAGUGCCCCACACUCUGUGAUCCAGCAUGGAGUUAUGAUUUACAUCACCACAGGAAGAGUACAGAGGCUUCAACAGAAAAAAAGCAAAAACAACAGACCUUCAUUCAGCUUAGGAACAUAAUAAAUAGGACGAAGUUGAAUAAACGAAAUGGAGGGGAGUGAAGUAUUCCAGAUGGAAGAGGCAGUACGUGGCCAAGAGGAAACAGACCAUGUGCGCUGGAGAAAAAGGAUGGCCAGACUUGCAGAAACCUGGAAUUGGUGAUUGGCUUUAGAAGUGGAGAGACAAAAAAGGAGGCAUAGAAAGUGCCAACAUUUGGCUACACAGGGAAGAAAGACGUAAAAUAAUAAAAACAUUGGCAUCACCUGUAGACUCAAAUCCUGUGAGUGAAGGACCUGAGCAAUGAAGGAUGGAUUGAACUCGUGAUUAGCCUUCUUCAGCAUAUGUAAAAUGAUGUCUGCUUUUCUUCUCUAUUUGUCAUUUUACCGACUUUUUAUAUAUAGUAGUUUCCCCAUAUCCAUGGAGGAUGUAUCCCAAGACCCCCAGAGGAUGCUUGAAACCACAGAUAAUAACAAACUCUAUGUAUCCUAUGAUUUUUCCUGUACAUCCUUACCUAUCAUAAAGUGAGUGUAUAAACUAGGCACAGGAGAUUAAAAACAAUAACUCAUAAUAAAAUAGAACAAUUAGUACAACCUAAUGAAAGUUAUCUGAAUGUGAUCUCUCUCAAAAUAUCUUAUUGUAGUGUACCAUGGGUAACUGAAAUGAUAGAAAACAAAAUUGCUGAUAAAGGGGGAUAUUGUAGUAAAAUAAAGGGGGAUGGGUAGAGCGUAGGAAGCAUUCACAAUUAGAACAGUUGGCAGUAGGGAAAGAAACAUACUUUAAAUUGGAAUGUGGAUCACAUGGCUGCCUCCUGCCAGUCAUGAUCGCAGGGUACAGAGGCCUCUGGUAUGUCAGGUCUUCUCUCCCACCACUAAUACUGCCCAAAAGACUCCAUCAGCAACCAGAGCUGAAUCACACACAACCCAGAUUGUCAUUUCUGAUGACUUUGACUUAAACAAACAGACAUAUUUUUAAUCUUUUUAGUGUGUGUGAAACUAGCAAGGCCUAAUGAAUUGAGUAUAUGGAUGAGGUUUGUGGCCUCUGUAACGUUUUCUCCAACCAGAACCUACUGAAAUAGCACAGAUGGUGAUGAGUAUGGUUCAAACACAAGAAUUCUUGGGUAAGUGACAAGAAUCUCGGUCUCCUGCCAUUUCCAUCUCUGCAUUUACUUACUGUGUGAAUUUGGACGAGUCAUGUAAUCUUCUGGCUUCAGUGUGUUUAUCUCUGUAAUUAAUAUGUUCAGUAACAGUUCUUCCCUCUGACCUAAAAAUAACCACUUCUUCCAAAGGUAUAUAUUAGAACUAUAUACAUAUAUACUAUACAAAUAUCUAACAUUUAUAUACUUAAUAUAUGUAAUAAACAUACUACACAUGUAAAUUUAAUGAUCUACCCUAUUCUCAGCCUCUACUUUCCUCUGACAAUGACAUCAUUCAAAUACUCUAAAAAGCUCAUAUUAUAGAAUCUUUAUAUUUAAAAAAGUUUUGUAAUGCUCUAAACUUAAUUGCAUAUUGCUAAGUGAAAGAGGCCAGUCUGAAAAAGCUAUGCACUGUAUGAUUCCAACUAUAUGACAUUCUGGAAAAGCCAAAACUAUAGAGACAAUAAAAGUAUCAAAGGCCUUUAGGGGGUUCAGGGAAAUGGGUGAGGAAUUAAAUAAAUGGAGUACAGCACACUUUUAGGGCAGCGAAACUAUUGUGUAUGGUACUCUAACAGUGGAUAUGUAACAUUACACUUUUAUCAAAACCUAUAAGCCCCAAACAGAAUGUUGUAAAUGUAAACUCUGGACUUCAUUUAUUUGUAGAGACAGGACUUUAGUUAAAAGUCCAUAUUGGUUUAUUAAUGGUAGCAAAUAUACCACACGAACGCCAGAUGCUAGUAAGAGCAGAAACUGUGUUGGGAGGAGGGAAGAUGUAUGGGAACUGGACUUUCUGUGCAGUUUCUCUCGGUAAACCUAAAACUGCUCUAAAAUUUUUCUAUUGAAUUUUUCAAUUAUUCCAGUUAUUCUCUAUAAAUUAGCAUACCUAUUGGCCCCCAAUUACCUUGCUAAUUUUAGGUUACUUAUUUUUAUAUGGUUCUCGAUUUAGUCUCCUUGGGCAAAUAGUAAACUGCAUGGCUUUUACUCUCUCUGACUUUCUUUUUCUGUCCUUCACAGAAAUUGAAGUUGAAGUAUAAGGAGAAUUUUUACAUCACCCAGGUUCUAAUUUGGAAGGUUUCUAACAGCCCUCUGUCCUCUUCUGGUGCUCACUGUGAAAGAAUUUGCACCCUGCAACACUAAGUGUUUGUGCUAGAAUCCACUUCUGAUGUUGGCUGCUCUGACACAGCUUCCAUUCGGUAUUUAUGUUGAGUUCUUUCAUUUUAUGUUGCUCUAAUAGAAUACUUUAGACUGUGUAAUUUACAAAGAGUGAAGUUUUAUUUCUUACAGUUCUGGAGGCUGGGGAGUCCACCCCAGGUGCUGGCAUCUUGUGAGAACCCUCCUGCUGUGUCAUUCCAUGGCAGAAGGCAAAAGUGCAAGAGAAUGCCAGAGAGCAAGAAGGGGAAGAACUCAGUUUUAUAACAAACUCACUCUCAAGAUAACUAACCCAUUCCUGCUAUAGCAACAUUCAUCCAUUCAUGAGGGCAGAGCCCACAUGACCCAAUCACAUCUUACUUGGCUGCAUCUCUCAACACUGUUCCAUUAGGAAUUAAGUAUUUAACACAUGACCUUUGGGAGACGCAUUCAAACCAUAGCAUAUGUCCUCUAUGCAGUUGCCUUGUCUAGAUGUAGGACACUGAGAAUUUACCACCCUUCCAGCAUUGACGUGCUCUCUAGGUGGCUCAAGAAUUCUUGGCUGUGUCUCCACCAGGCUUCAAGACCCUCCAUUAGCCUGGCUUUUGGACCUCUGUGGUUCCAGCCCUUGCUAGACACGGGUUUCUCUAAGAGAUCUGUAUUCUCCACAGUCUGUAUACAGAAAAGAUAGUCUCAAAUCUCCUCUGAUUUAGGGCCCUGAUAAAAAUUACUUGGUCUUCUACUCUACAACCUCACCAUACCCCUUCAGGUUUUGAACCUGGGAGAGACAGAAUAUGGAACACUUUCUUAAAAAUAAAUGCAUACUUGACAUUAAUAAGGGAUUUACAAUCUAUUCACUAUGAAAUCCUCAGGAACAUGUAGGUUUUUCCAAGAAGUAAAAAACAAUUAUUUUCAUUUAAGUCAUAUGUCAAUUAACAAUAUUUUUUACACAAUUAAAAAUCUCAUUUUUGUUAUGAAAUGUGAAACACAUUUCCUUUGUUUUUGAGGCAGGGUCUCACUCUUGUCGCCCAGACUGCAUUGCAGUGGGGUGAUCUCGGCUCAUUGCAACCUCUGUCUCCCGGAUUCAAGCAAUUCUCCUGCCUCAGCCCCCCAAGUAGCUGGGUUUACAGGUAUGUGCAACCAUGCCCAGCUAAUUUUUUUUUGUAUUUUUUUCAGUAGACAUGGUUUUUUUUUUUAAAUUUUAUUAUUAUUAUACUUUAAGUUUUAGGGUACAUGUGCGCAACGUGCAGAUUUGUUACAUAUGUAUAUAUGUGCCAUGUUGGUGUGCUGCACCCAUUAACUCGUCAUUUAGCAUUAGGUAUAUCUCCUAAUGCUAUCCCUCCCCACUCCCACCACCCCACAACAGUCCCCAGUGUGUGAUGUUCCCCUUCCUGUGUCCAUGUGUUCUCAUUGUUCAAUUCCCACCUGUGAGUGAGAACAUGUGGUGUUUGGUUUUUUGUCCUUGCGAUAGUUUGCUGAGAAUGGUGGUUUCCAGCUUCAUCCAUGUCCCUACAAAGGACAUGAACUCAUCCUUUUUUAUGGCUGCAUGGUAUUCCAUGGUGUAUAUGUGCCACAUUUUCUUAAUCCAGUCUAUCAUUGUUGGACAUUUGGGUUGGUUCCAAGUCUUUGCUAUUGUGAAUAGUGCCGCAAUAAACAUACAUGUGCAUGAGUAGACACGGGGUUUCACCAUGUUGGCCAGGCUGGUCUUGA
ensembl:lncRNA CCDC144NL-AS1 CCDC144NL antisense RNA 1